rnacentral:rRNA from 1 species
UACGUAGGGUGCAGGCGUUAAUCGGAAUUACUGGGCGUAAAGCGUGCGCAGGCGGUUUUGUAAGACAGUCGUGAAAUCCCCGGGCUCAACCUGGGAAUGGCGAUUGUGACUGCAAAGCUGGAGUGCGGCAGAGGGGGAUGGAAUUCCGCGUGCAGCAGUGAAAUGCGUAGAUAUGCGGAGGAACACCGAUGGCGAAGGCAGCCCCCUGGGAUAACACUGACGCUCAUGCACGAAAGCGUGGGGAGCAAACAGG